rnacentral:lncRNA from 1 species
AGAGAGAGAAAGGGGGGUUUCUCUCUCCCUCCAUGUAUGCGUGUGUGUGUGUGUGUGUGUGUGUGUGUGUGUGUGUGUUCGGUUGAGGAGGCAGGAGAAGAAGGGAUUAAUACCUUUUUACAAGUUAGCCCCUCAACUAUACACUAUUCAUAUCAGUUUAGCAGAUACAAACUGACGUUUUUCGUCGGAGCCCUUCUGAAUGUCCGUUUAUGCUCAAAUUUGACAGUCAGGCUUGGUUUUACUUAAUAAGUACAAAAAAAUUUUAAUCUUUCAGUUUCGACCCCGUUUGGUCACCGAAAGCCCUACCGAACUGUAAUCUUUAGCAGAUAGCAGUUCGAUUUCAUUCUCCACUUUUCGGGUGUCAGAAUGGAUGAAACUUUAUAUCUAAUCUCAUAAAAAUAUUUCUGACAUAUUCUUCGGUUUUCAUAAUUUUCUGACACUGUACAUUUUCUGCUAAUUUAUCUGCCCUGUUUCUCACAGAAAAUUCUAAAUCUUCUAUUUUUUCUCUCCGAUUUCAGCACAGGUCAUUUUCAAUCUAUAUUUCACUUCACUAAUCCAAUAAAAAUAGUAUCUCACACUAUUUUUAUUUAUUUUUUACUUUUAUAUCAAAAUCUGAUAUAUUACAAGCCGAAAGUGUACCGGUACACUUCCUCGUAUCACCGGUAACACGACUGCGCAGAGACAAAACCCGA